rnacentral:rRNA from 1 species
GAUGAACGCUCGCGAUAGGCUUAACACAUGCAAGUCGAGGGGCAGCAUGGUCUUAGCUUGCUAAGACUGAUGGCGACCGGCGCACGGGUGCGUAACGCGUAUGCAACUUGCCUCACAGAGGGGGAUAACCCGUCGAAAGACGGACUAAUACCGCGUACACUCCAUCUUGGGCAUCCAAGGUAGAGGAAAUGAAAUUCGCUGUGAGAUAGGCAUGCGUCCCAUUAGCUAGUUGGUGAGGUAACGGCUCACCAAGGCGACGAUGGGUAGGGGAACUGAGAGGUUGAACCCCCACACUGGUACUGAGACACGGACCAGACUCCUACGGGAGGCAGCAGUGAGGAAUAGUGGUCAAUGGGCGAGAGCCUGAACCAGCCAAGUCGCGUGAAGGAUGACUGUCUUAUGGAUUGUAAACUUCUUUUAUACGGGAAUAACAAGAGUCACGGGUGACUACCUGCAUGUACCGUAUGAAUAAGCAUCGGCUAACUCCGUG